rnacentral:rRNA from 1 species
AACCGAGAGGAGAAGGAAGACUUGGCUUCUUUCAAAUCUAGUGGCAAACGGGUGAGUAACACGUAAACAACCUGCCUUCAGGAUGGGGGACAACAGACGGAAACGACUGCUAAUACCGAAUACGUUCCUUAGGUCGCAUGACUUUAGGAAGAAAGGGUGGCCUCUACUUGUAAGCUAUCGCCUGAAGAGGGGUUUGCGUCUGAUUAGGUAGUUGGUGAGGUUAACGGCCCACCAAGCCGACGAUCAGUAGCCGGUCUGAGAGGAUGAACGGCCACACUGGAACUGAGACACGGUCCAGACUCCUACGGGAGGCAGCAGUGGGGAAUCUUCCGCAAUGGCGAAAGCCUGACGGAGCAAUGCCGCGUGAGUGAUGAAGGAAUUCGUUCCGUAAAGCUCUUUGUUAUGACGAAUGUGCAGAUUGUGAAUAAUGAUCUGUAAUGACGGUAGUAAACGAAUAAGCCACGGCUAACUACGUG